rnacentral:rRNA from 1 species
GUGUCAGCCGCCGCGGUAAUACGGAGGGGGCAAGCGUUGUCCGAAUUUAUUGGGCGUAAAGCGCGUGUAGGCGGACCGUCAAGCCUGGGGUGAAAGGUCGGGGCUCAACCCCGUACAGGGCCCUGGGGACUGGCGGUCUGGAGGCAGGCAGAGGAGCGUAGAAUUCCUGGUGUAGCGGUGGAAUGCGUAGAGAUCAGGAAGAAUACCCGUGGCGAAGGCGGCGCUCUGGGCCUGUACUGACGCUGAGACGCGAAAGCGUGGGGAGCGAACGGGAUUAGAUACCCCGGUAGUCCACGCUGUAAACGAUGGAUGCUCGGUGUCGGGGGUAUCGACCCCCUCGGCGCCCAAGGUAACCCGGUAAGCAUCCCGCCUGGGGAGUACGGCCGCAAGGUUGAA